rnacentral:rRNA from 1 species
AGAGUUUGAUCCUGGCUCAGGACGAACGCUGGCGGCGUGCCUAACACAUGCAAGUCGAGCGGAGACAGUGAGUAGCUUGCUAUGAACUGUUUUAGCGGCGGACGGGUGAGUGACGCGUGAGCAACCUUUCCCAGACAGGGGAAUAACACACCGAAAGGUGUACUAAUACCGCAUAAGACCACGGGAUCACAUGGUUCUGGGGUAAAAGAUUUUAGUCGGGUUUGGGGUGGGCUCGCGUCCGAUUAGGUAGUUGGUGAGGUAACGG